rnacentral:rRNA from 1 species
UACGUAGGGGGCUAGCGUUGUCCGGAUUUAUUGGGCGUAAAGAGCGUGUAGGCGGCUGGGUAGGUCCGCUGUGAAAACUCGAGGCUUAACCUCGAGACGUCGGUGGAAACCAUCCAGCUAGAGUCCGGAAGAGGAGAGUGGAAUUCCUGGUGUAGCGGUGAAAUGCGCAGAUAUCAGGAAGAACACCCGUGGCGAAAGCGGCUCUCUGGGACGGUACUGACGCUGAGACGCGAAAGCGUGGGGAGCGAACAGG